GGCAGCAGCAGGCAGGCGGGCAGGCUGGGAGUUUGCAUGGGAAUCAUGAAAUCUUGUCUUUCUCUUUUGAAAUGUUUUGGAAGGAGAGUUAAGAAUAGCUCCGAAACUGGUCUUGUUGUUUUUGUGGGAAGAAUGACCAGAAGCAUAAAAGCUGCAUUUUCCAGUGAGUGCAGGACACCUCUUUUGGUGUUUGCAAUAAACCUAACAGAACGAACUGCUAUCUGUAAAGUACUGUGCCAUGACACCUAAAAUGAAGGGAAUGGGAAAGCAAAGUAAUGGCUCAAAGGCUGCUACCGAGAGCUUUUGUCUACCUUUAACUCAUUGUGAAACUUGACAUCAUCAGAUAGUGAACCAAGAGUUACUGACAGCUGCGGCCAAAUGAUGACCUCAGCUUAAUCUUGGCAUUUUUGCAAGAAACAGACUCUAACUACUGCCUGAUGAAGAAGUCAGAGAGACUACUGCCACCAAAAAGUCCUCCCUGUGGUCAGGAACCACAGCUUCCUUUUUAACAUAAGCAAAGUUGGACAUUCCAAAGAUGGCGUAGAUGAACAUGACCAGGAAGAGCAGGAGGCCAAUGUUAAACAAGGCGGGAAGGGACAUCAUCAGAGCAAAGAGCAGCGUGCGGAUCCCCUUCGCCCCUUUGAUCAGACGCAAGAUUCGACCAAUCCUGGCGAGACGGAUCACUCGGAACAGGGUAUCCAGGAGAGCCUUCAGGCCAGUGUUAAGAGAACUACUUAUGAGCAGAAACUGAAUGCCAUACCAUGUCAAGAACUUACCAGAAGAAGCUAGGAAAACACUGGGAAGAGAACUCUGAAUUAGAGCUCCUGAGAUACCUAAUCCAGAGUCUGAUGCCAAGCUGACAGACUAAACCAAGUCAACAUGGUGGCUUUGAAAAUUGAAGUCAGUGAGUCAUGAAGAACAUCUUAUCCCAAUUUUCUCCUUUGAAUUUUCAACGUGUGAACAUGCGACUACGUACCACUAGAUUUCCAAUGACCAUGACCAUCAUGUAAACUAUAAGGCACAUGGCUUGACCAGCGACCUCCAUACAGUCCCACAUGGUUUCUAUCCACUCUCCACACAGCACGCGGAAGACAAUCAGGAAGGAGUGGAAGAAAUCAUUCAUGUGCCAGCGUGGGAGUGUACAGUCUUCAUUGAUCUUGCAGACACAUUCUUUGUAGCUUUUACCAAAGAGCUGCAUGCCAACCACAGCAAAAAUGAAGACGAUGAUGGCCAACACCAAGAAUUACAUGGAGACUGUAAUGGAUGUUUCUUAUUACCAAGGAAGAUCUCAUGAAUUGCUCUGAGUGGAUGAGGAUAAAUGACUCAGCGUGAAAAGGACGACGGAGACUGGUGGGCACUGUAGCAAAAUGGAGAAUGUAAGCUCCAUCUGAAAGAGGUGACCACUGUUCAGCUCUAAAGGAUUGUUGCCAUGCAGGAAUAUGAGCUCAGUCUUACCAGGUGCACUCAUUUUUGUGUGAAAAUGUCUUGUUUUUAAAUUUUGGCAACUAAUUCAAAGUUUAAACACUAUGCUGGUUCAGUGCAGGCCAACAAUACACACACACACA